UCAUCUGCCGGAACUACCGUGGCGAUGUGGACAUGUCGGAGGUGGAGCACUUCAUGCCCAUCCUGAUGGAGAAGGAGGAGGAGGGGAUGCUGUCGCCCAUCCUGGCCCACGGUGGGGUCCGUUUCAUGUGGAUCAAACACAACAACCUGUAUCUGGUUGCCACAUCCAAGAAGAAUGCGUGCGUGUCGCUGGUCUUCUCCUUCCUCUAUAAGGUGGUGCAGGUGAGUCUCGCUCGGAGGGGCCGUGGGCUUGGGUGGCAGUUGUCUUGGCUCUGCUUGUGGACCUCCCCAUACCUGGCUACCCUACA
rnacentral:sRNA from 1 species